GUUGACCUCGGAUCAGGUAGGAAUACCCGCUGAACUUAAGCAUAUCAAUAAGG
rnacentral:rRNA from 2 species